AAGGUUUGGUCCUGGCCUUCCUAUUAGUUAUUAACAGAAUUACACAUGCAAGCCUCCACAUCCCGGUGAAGAUGCCCUCUAAAUCUAUUAAACGAUUAAAAGGAGCGGGCAUCAGGCACACUAAAUAAGUAGCCCAUAACGCCUUGCUCAACCACACCCCCACGGGAUACAGCAGUGAUAAAAAUUAAGCCAUGAACGAAAGUUUGACUAAGCCAUGUUAAUAUUAAGAGUUGGUAAAUUUCGUGCCAGCCACCGCGGUCAUACGAUUAACCCAAAUUAAUAGGCUCACGGCGUAAAACGUGCUAAGGAUUACAAAACACUAAAGUUAAAAUUUAACCAGGCCGUAAAAAGCUACUGUUAAUAUAAAAUAUACCACGAAAGUGACUUUAUCAUCUCCAACAACACGAUAGCUGGGACCCAAACUGGGAUUAGAUACCCCACUAUGCCCAGCCCUAAACACAAACAAUUUACACAACAAAAU
rnacentral:rRNA from 1 species